rnacentral:lncRNA from 1 species
UAUAACUUACUUUCAACAUUAUCAGACAAUGUAUUUUGAGGGGCCGCCUUAACCAUCCUUUUUGAUGACUCGGCUGUACAAAAGUUACCCAACUUAACAGUAGCAAGCAGAAAUAAACAGUGCUUACUAAAGCACUCCAAAAUAAGUUCUGAUAAUCUUAGACACCAUAAACUAAAUCCUAAACCCCAAGCUACAGAUAUACUUGAGCAUGGAUGUAAAUUUUUCUCUUAUUCCGAGCAUGAAAGUUCACAAGGCCCCCAAGUGAUAUUGAAUGGGAGGUAGCGGGUGUUUGGUGAAUUGGUUGAAUUGCGCACAAGCUCGCUCAGACACCACCUUUAUAAGGGGGAAAAUGAAAAGGUAUGAUUAGGCAACAAUAUCUACUAUACUAGUUUCAGGUGCUGCCACCAGAAAAGGCAAAAAAGCUUGUCAUU